GCGGUAGAAAACAGUUGAUUCUACAACAGAUGAAGAGCAAAAUAAAGGCUUUUUUAGAGCUGCAUAUGUCAUUUCAGGGAUCCUGCUGGUGCCAUUGACUCUCGCGCUGACCAUCUUUAUGUUUUGGCAUGUUUAUCUUAUUCUGCAAAACAAGACCACAAUAGAGUACCAUGAAGGUGUGAGAGCUAUGUGGCUUGCUGAAAAAGGAGGUUAUCUGUAUUCACAUCCAUAUGAUCUUGGUACUUAUGAGAAUAUGAU